UACAGAGGUGGCAAGCGUUGUUCGGAAUUACUGGGCGUAAAGGGCGCGUAGGCGGCCCGUCAAGUCCCGUGUGAAAGCCCCCGGCUCAACCGGGGAACUGCACGGGAAACUAGCAGGCUUGAGUUCGGGAGAGGGAAGCGGAAUUUCGGGUGUAGCGGUGAAAUGCGCAGAUAUCCGAAGGAACACCGGUGGCGAAGGCGGCUACCUGGACAGGUACUGACGCUGAAGCGCGAAAGCUAGGGGAGCAAACAGG
rnacentral:rRNA from 1 species